rnacentral:lncRNA from 1 species
GACAGAGUGUACUGAAAAUCCUCAACGUGGUGAGCAACAACAAAUAUUAGGUACCUAACAAAUUUGGAAGAAGAGGCUCUGAACUAGAGAGUGGAGGCAUCAUGUUAAGCUGGUGCGUGCUAAAUUGAGAAGCACAACUCUGCAAGUUUUAAAUAUCAAUGAACAAGAAUGAUCCUUGAACAACAUUUGAAGUAGAUGAUUGGAGUGGCAGAGAAACAGAAAAAAAAUAAAAAUUUAAGCUAACCAAAUAUGAGAAAAUUUGAAAAUAUUU